rnacentral:tRNA from 1 species
GCCUGGGUGGCUAAGUCAGUUAAGCAUCUGACUUCAGCUCAGAGCUCUAUCUUACAGUUAAUGAGUUCGAGCCCCACCUUGGGCU